GACGUAGGGCGCGAGCGUUGUCCGGAUUUAUUGGGCGUAAAGAGCUCGUAGGCGGCUUGUUGCGUCGGCUGUGAAAGCCCGGGGCUUAACCCCGGGUCUGCAUUCGAUACUGGGCGGCUAGAGUCUGGUAGGGGGAUCUGGAAUUCCUGGUGUAGCGGUGGAAUGCGCAGAUAUCAGGAGGAACACCGGUGGCGAAGGCGGGAUCCUGGGCCAGUACUGACGCUGAGGAGCGAAAGCGUGGGGAGCAAACAGG
rnacentral:rRNA from 1 species